rnacentral:lncRNA from 1 species
UUUUUUUUUUGAAUCUUGAAUAGUUUCUUUAUGGACUUAUUUCGAUUAACUUUUUAUGCUUUUUUUUAAGGAAUGGGAGAUGGGAGCGAGUUCUCGGGAGAAUUGUUUGAUGCCCUUGCGAGACGGAAAGGGAUAGAUGUGUCCGAAGGGAUCACGUUAGGACAAGUGAAAAUAUUCUGGGAAGAUUUGACAAAAGAGGAUCUUGAUACUCGAGUUCAUAUUUUCUUCGACAUGUAAGAUCACAUUUCGAUUUCAUUCAAGUUUUUUUCAUGUAGAUUGUCAAACAAGCUCCUAGAGUAAAUUCAGUUGGUAUACUUGCAUUAAACGUGAAGAGUUUAAGUCUCAACAUCUGUCAGUAUUAGAGUUUUAAUUCCAAUGUGGAUUUGGUUCCUUGUGGACAAUGGGGCACUUAUGCUAGCCCCCAAGCGGGUUGUUGUUGAUCUGAUUUACCUCUCACAUGAUACUCCUCGGGUAGCUCUAGGAUUAAUAUUAAUAGAAGAAUAAUCUUUUUGCAGAAAAAUGUCAAACUAAAACCUAGUGGCUAAUAAUUAAAGUUUUUUUCAGGUGUGACAAGAACGGGGACGGCUUGCUAACGGAGGAGGAUGUAAAAGAGGUAGAUAUUAUAUAAAGGAGCCAUUUCUGAUAAAUUUUCUUUGUUCUUCUCAAUCUAAAUCACAUAUCAUUGUUUAAAGUUUUCGGUUUUUCUUAUGUUGAAGGUGUUGAUAAUGAGUGCAUCAGCCAACAAACUUUCGGCUUUCAAGAAACAAGCGGGAACAUAUGCAGCUCUAAUCAUGGAAAGACUCGACCCUGACCAGCACGGCCACAUAGAGGUAAUUAUAUCCUAAUAACUAUAUAGUUGAUGAUCAACUUACUACUUAUAUUUUUAUAUAAUUUUAAAACAUCUAAUAAUCAUAUUCAUUUAAUUAAUUUGAUUAUCUAACAGAUGUGGCAACUUGAGACAUUGUUAAAAAGCACGACAUCUAAGGAAACAUGCAAGUUAACCGCUGAGGACACGACUGAUCUAGCAAAAACGAUGAUUCCAGAAGAUUACAGAAACCCCAUGAGAAAAUUCUGUACAAAAAUGUUUGAAUCAGGGCUCGAACAUUGGAAAGUAAUGUGGGUAUUAUUUCUCUUUUGGGAAAUGAACAUCGCACUGUUCAUGUGGAAAUUCCACCAGUAUAACUUGAUGCCAUCGUUUCAAGUCCUGGGAUAUUGCAGCUGCACUGCAAAAGGCGCGGGUGAAACCCUAAAGUUCAAUAUGGCUCUCAUUCUCCUUCCUGUAUGCAGAAGAACACUUACAUCCAUUCGAGAAACUUUCCUUGGAAAAUUACUACCUGUUGAUGAGAACAUCAACUUCCAUAAAAUCAUCGCCCUUGCAAUUGUAAUAGGGAGUGUGGUUCACACAGUGGCCCACUUGUCGUGCAAUUUUAUAAGGCUGUCGACUUGCCCUAAUAACCAGUUCAUGGCUGUUUUUGGAGCUUUGUUUACAGAACAGCCAACUUACAUGGACCUAUUGUUAAGCAUCCCCGGGUGGACUGGAAUUGUAAUGAUGAUUUUAAUGGCUAUUUCCUUCCUCUUCGCUACAAGUUCUUUUAGGAGAAAUGUCAAUAAUUUGCCUAGGCCAUUUAGUGAUUUGGCUGGGUUUACUUCCUUUUGGUACACUCAUCAUCUGCUGAUUAUCGUUUACUUCUUGUUCAUCGCUCAUGGCUACUUCUUAAUCCUCACCGUAGGAUGGUAUAGGAAAACUGUAUGUCGCUUUUACAACUUUUCUGUAUAUACACACACACACACAAACGAUUUUUGCUUUUGAUGAAAAGUUUGACAAAAUUUUGUCAAAAUUGCAGACGUGGAUGUAUCUCUUGAUUCCAAUGGUGUGUUAUGCUAGUGAAAGAAUCCUUACAACUGAUCAUACACUGAAAGUUGAUACCAUUAAGGUGACUAUAUAUAUAACUCUCAUGCAAGUCCUUAUGUUUCUUGUUCUCUACUAGCUAGAAAACCCUAAUUUCUUUUGUACAUGUUGUGUAAAUGCAGGCUAUCAUAUACACGGGAAAUGUGCUAGCAUUAUACAUGACUAAACCUACAGGAUUCAAGUACAAGAGUGGAAUGUACCUCUUUGUACAAUGUCCAAGAAUAUCACGUUUUGAAUGGUAAGUGUCAAUUAGAUUCAUAUAGGAUAAAAUCCAACAUAUAUAGAGACAGAUGAGACUGCAACCAUGCUACUUGGAUCUUGAAUUGACAAAAAUGAAUUAUUCAUAAAUGUGGAUUUACUAUAUAUGACAGGCAUCCGUUCACUAUCACUUCUGCACCUGGAGAUGACUACUUAAGUGUGCAUAUUCGUACUUUGGGAGACUGGACAAAAGCACUUAGAGAAGAAUUCGCAAAGGUCAAACAAUGUGUUAAUAUAUACAUCUCCAUUCACUUCUACCUCUUCAUCAACUGCAUGUUCUCUCUUAAUCUGAAUUCUAAAACACAGAAAUGCAGGCCAGCUGUGAGGCUCAGCAGAAGAACAGUGUAGAAGGAAAUCUUGUCAGAAUCGAAACUAAUGCCAAAGAAUCACAAGUAAAGUGAGUUCCAUAAAAAACUAAGGCUAAAUCACCCACUUUUACAUAAAUUUAUUUUAAUUUUCACUUUUUGUUUUGGUAGGUAUCCUAAAAUCUACAUUAAAGGACCUUAUGGAGCACCAGCUCAACAUUAUAGGAAUUACCAAGUCCUGUUACUUAUUGGCUUGGGUAUUGGAGCCACUCCAUUCAUCAGUAUUUUAAACGACCUCCUACACCACCUAAAACAAUCGGUAAGUAAAAAAUAGCUAUUGAAAAGGAAACAUUUUAGAUAAUAAAAAAAAAAUUUGAGAGUACACUUGUUUUAACUGCAGAGAUUGGGGGAUUUUAAUCUGAAUAAAAGAGCUUACUUUUAUUGGGUAACAAGGGAGCAAGGCUCUUUCGAAUGGUUCAAAGGUGUAAUGGAUGAUAUUGCAGAAAAUGAUCACAAUGUGGGUCAUUAACCUUAACUUUUAGUAUUUUAUGUUUUUCGUUAUCAGUGCAUACCAUUUCAUUUAAUUAAUAGGUCAUGUAUGUGAAUUAUUGCAGAACAUAAUUGAAAUGCAUAACUACCUAACGAGUGUGUAUGAACAAGGUGACGUGAGAUCUGCACUUAUUUCUAUGGUGCAGUCUCUGCAACUUGCUAAAGAUGGAGUUGAUGUUGUCUCUCAGAGUAAGGUAUAAACUUUCUUGAAAUAUAUGAUGACUUAAAACUUAAUCUGUUCUUUAUUUUCAAGGAUUUAUUUUCUAACAACAAACAAAUCACGGCAGAUUAAAACACAUUUUGCAAGACCUAACUGGAGAAAGGUAUUCCAGACCUUGGCAACUACGCAUAAAGGUUCUAAAAUAGGUAAAGCAUCACACUCAUUACUACUAUCUUUUCUAAUAUUGAUUAUUAUAAUGGUUAUAUAUUUGGUUCUAGUGUCGGGCUCUAUUGGGAAAAUGGUCUCAUAGAUUCUCAAUAAUGCGUCCAAUGAAAAGAAAAAGAACUUGAAUGUCGAAAACUAGAGAAAAACUAGUCUUCAGAGAGAAAAAUUCACUAUCAGAUAAAUUAUUACAAUCACAUAGACUAAUCUCUCAAACCAGCCCCAAAUUACACCCACACCCUCCAAAGAUUCAACUCACACCUUUCUAAACCAUGAGGCAAGAGAAGAAAGAAUGAAACAAACAAAUACUUAAAACCAUAUUUGAGAGCAGCACCACUCCACCUUUUUAUAAAAAUUCCAUAUUAAAUAUUAGCCAACAAAUCUCAAUAAAUCUACGUUGUAUGUGCUUAUCAUCAUUUUACAAUUUCCGUUUCCAUCGAAUUGCAGGUGUUUUCUAUUGCGGGGCCCGGGCACUUACAAAACAACUAAGAAAUCUCUGCAAAGAAUUUAGCCUAACAAACACGACUCGCUUUCAUUUCCACAAGGAGAAUUUCUAAAAAAAGACGAAAAAAAUGUACCAACAGUUUUCGCUAUGACAUGAGAUCAUUUGUAGAUCUGCAGGUCUCUAUCAAAGUUCUAAUGACAGCGGGAUUAAUUGCUAUUUUUUGAGAACAAGAGCUUUUGUUAUAUAUAGAGACUGGUAGCAGAUCUUUGUGCUGCUGUUGGAGAAUUGUUGCAUGUUUGGGCAACCUUGUUUUGUGUAGCUUAAUCAAAUCUGCCUCUUCUCCUGAUCCCGAAAGAUAAAAUAAAAUAAUGAGGAUCUAUGCUUAGUUUAGUUUAUCAGGCAAUGAUUUGUAUCGUCUCAUAAAAUCCCUCAACCUUGAGUUUAACUUUUUAAUUGGUUAAUUUACACUGUUAUGGCAAUUCAGGUAUAGUGAUUGAGGUAUGCAAAUGAAAAAGGUAUACCAAUGAACUAAAUUCCUUUUGCAUAACGGCAUUACAAAUUCACCAUCAAAACAGCAUAGAACUAAACCAAUUUCUCACAAUUGAAAAUAAUUCUUCAAUCAGUAACGAACUAACAAUUUAACAACAAAAAUAACAAUAAAUACCUAAUUUUCAGACCCAAUCAUCAGCUUCGAACUUCAACAUCAUUGUUGUUGAUACUCCUCAAGCUACCCCUUCUCGCUUUUCUUAAAUACAUUCAUUGAGGUAUACGAGCUGGUAAAACGCCGGAGUCGGAGAUGGUUGUAAAGGUAAGUAGACGCCGACUAAAAACUGCAUUCUCGGAGGUGAACAGUUUCCCAAAUCCCAAUUGGCAUUAAUU